UGGGGCGUCGGCAAGCGGCAAGCCACGGGUUUUUGGAGCCCGCAUUCGUAGGUUCGAAUCCUACCGCCCCAG
rnacentral:tRNA from 2 species